rnacentral:rRNA from 1 species
UGGGGAAUAUUGCGCAAUGGGGGGAACCCUGACGCAGCCAUGCCGCGUGAAUGAAGAAGGCCUUAGGGUUGUAAAGUUCUUUCGGUAUUGAGGAAGGUUGAUGUGUUAAUAGCACAUCAAAUUGACGUUAAAUACAGAAGAAGCACCGGCUAACUCCGUGCCAGCAGCCGCGGUAAUACGGAGGGUGCGAGCGUUAAUCGGAAUAACUGGGCGUAAAGGGCACGCAGGCGGUUAUUUAAGUGAGGUGUGAAAGCCCCGGGCUUAACCUGGGAAUUGCAUUUCAGACUGGGUAACUAGAGUACUUUAGGGAGGGGUAGAAUUCCACGUGUAGCGGUGAAAUGCGUAGAGAUGUGGAGGAAUACCGAAGGCGAAGGCAGCCCCUUGGGAAUGCACUGACGCUCAUGUGCGAAAGCGUGGGGAGCAAACAGGAUUAGAUACCCUGGUAGUCCACGCUGUAAACGCUGUCGAUUUGGGGGUUGGGGUUUAACUCUGGCGCCCGUAGCUAACGUGAUAAAUCGACCGCCUGGGGAGUACGGCCGCAAGGUUA